rnacentral:lncRNA from 1 species
CCAGCUGUAAAGUUUUCUUCCCUUUCCUUAGUGAAAAAUAUUGUUUUUGCUUAUUUUGAAGAGAAUUUAAUUCUUUCUUCACAAGUUAUGAAUGUCUCUAAUCCAUUUAAAAUCUCUUUAGCAUGACUUUUUUUUUUUUUUUUUUUUUUUUGACUCAGUUACAUCUUGGCCAAUGGAGUACACAUGAGAGAGAUGUCAGAUUCAGUGCUUCUUAGGAGGCUUCAGAGCUGUUCCUCCUCGUCUUUGUCUCUUGAUGUUAACAGAAGAAUGGGCUCACAUACAAUUUGUGCAUUCCUCUUGCAUGGAGUACCUUUUGGAGGAUGAUAGCCCAGGGAUACUGGAUGUUUUCUACGUUUUUUCUUUUUCUUUUCCUUUAGCCUUGAAAUUAUCCCUUAUGCACACACAGUAUUUCAGAUCUCACUGAUUAGCUAUUGGUAAGCACCGAGCUAUGUGACUAUGAACAGCUAGUCAAUAAGCACCACUGAAAGAAAUGCCUUGCAUCUUACCACUCUGAAAUGUCAUUUCUCUUGACAUUUGCAUGUCACCUUUUAAAAAUCAUGCACAGCCAGAGUCUUGUGAGUGUGUUAACUUUUUUUCCUCACUGCUGGAUUUGAGUGGGAGAAUUUGCUAUUCAGACGCUUUCUCCAUGCAGUCAUGGCCAUUUAGGAAGUUCACCUCUGAAAGACAGCUCAGGCUCUGCUGAAUGUCCUGAGCCCCUUCAGACAGGCAGGGCUCAGUCUGCAGGUGUCGUUGCUCUCCCUCCCUCCACCAGUACUGUGCACUCAGGGCUCAAUUUGUUGACUGUUAAAAUUCUGGAUAGAAAAAAAAGCAUUUUGCUUUUCCAAGGUUUCCCGUAGCUCUGGUAAAGUCCUGUUCAAAUUCCUCAGUCCUCCCUUCAGAGGAGACAUCUGAAUCAAGAUGAUGACAAUGCUCAAUGGAGAAUAUAUGAUCAUUAAAAUUUAUUCUCUGUGCAUGCAAAGAUAUUCCACUGACUCUCUCUUUUUCACUUCCUAUGGAUUGAAAGUGGCA